rnacentral:rRNA from 1 species
GUGGUCCUACGGGGCGCAGCAGUGGGGGAUAUUGGACAAUGGGGGGAACCCUGAUCCAGCGACGCCGCGUGAGUGAAGAAGUAUUUCGGUAUGUAAAGCUCUGUCAGCAGGGAAGAAAGCAAUGACGGUACCUGACCAAGAAGCCCCGGCUAACUACGUGCCAGCAGCCGCGGUAAUACGUAGGGGGCAAGCGUUAUCCGGAUUUACUGGGUGUAAAGGGAGCGUAGACGGUGCAGCAAGUCUGAUGUGAAAGGUCGGGGCCCAACCCCGGGACUGCAUUGGAAACUGUUGAACUGGAGUACAGG